UGGUUGAUCCUGCCGGAGGCUACCGCUAUUGGAGUUCGAUUAAGCCAUGCGAGUCGCGAGUCUUAGGGACUCGGCGUACCGCUCAGUAACACGUGGGUAACCUGCCCUAUGCUGGGGGAUAACCUCGGGAAACUGAGAAUAAUACCCCAUAGUUCACCACGCCUGGAACGGUGGGUGGACCAAAGCUCCGGCGGCAUAGGAUGGGCCUGCGGCGUAUCAGGUUGUAGGGGGUGUAAUGUACCCUCUAGCCCUCUACGCGUACGGGUGUUGAGAGACAUCGCCCGGAGAUGGAUUCUGAGACACGAAUCCAGACCCCACGGGGUGCAGCAGGCGCGAAAACUUGGCAAUGCGAGAAAUCGUGACCAGGGAACUCCAAGUGCAUCGGGUAAGACCGAUGCUUUUCUUGACUCUUCAAAGGUCUUGGAAUAAGGGGUGGGUAAGGACGGUGCCAGCCGCCGCGGUAAUACCGGCGCCCCAAGUGGUAGUCGCUUUUAUUGGGCCUAAAACGUCCGUAGCCGGUCUGGUACAUUCGUGGGUAAAUCAACCAGCUCAACUGGUUGAAUUCUGCGAGCACGGCCAGACUUGGGACCGGGAGAGGUGUGGGGUACUCUCAGGGUAGGGGUAAAAUCCUGUCAUCCUGAGAGGACCACCUGUUGCGAAGGCGCCACACUAGAACGGAUCCGACGGUCAGGGACGAAGCCUAGGGGCACGAACCGGAUUAGAUACCCGGGUAGUCCUAGGUGUAAACGCUGUGGACUUGAUGUUGGGGGCGCUCCGAGCGCACUCAGUGUCGAAGCGAAGGUGAUAAGUCCACUGCCUGGGGAGUACGGUCGCAAGGCUGAAACUUAAAGGAAUUGGCGGGGGAGCACCGCAACCUGAGGAUUGUGCGGUUUAAUUGGAUUCAACGCCGG
rnacentral:rRNA from 1 species